UACGGAGGGUGCAAGCGUUAUCCGGAUUCACUGGGUUUAAAGGGUGCGUAGGUGGGUUGGUAAGUCAGUGGUGAAAUCUCCGAGCUUAACUUGGAAACUGCCAUUGAUACUAUCAGUCUUGAAUAUUGUGGAGGUUAGCGGAAUAUGUCAUGUAGCGGUGAAAUGCUUAGAUAUGACAUAGAACACCAAUUGCGAAGGCGGCAUCCUGGACCAACACUGACGCUGAGUGAGCGAAAGCCAGGGGAGCAAACGGG
rnacentral:rRNA from 1 species